AUGACGUACUUGCGCCGGAUAAUACGAAUAGCAAUUUAAAAUUCAAAUAAUUUGGCGGUGUUUUACAUACUCAGGGGAACCUGUCUCUUAAUUCGAUAAUCCACGAUAAAUCUAUCCUCUCUUUGAUUCACAGCCUGUGUACUGCUGUCGUCAGUAAACCUCUUAAAGAAAGUUUACAACUAUGAAUAUCUAUCAUUCACGUCAAGUCAAAGUGCAGCUUAUAGGAAGGAGUAAAGAUGGGUUACAAUCUUAAUAAAGAUAACGGAUAAAUAUAUUUAUUAUAUUUUAAAGGUGGACUUGACAGUAAUAACAAAAAUAUACUGUUAUGAAUAACAACCUAAAACAUGCACACAUCGCCCGUCACUCUCGUC
rnacentral:rRNA from 1 species